AUCCCCUUGUACUAUUUGUGCGCGCCUGCUUCUGGAUCUCCACGGCGCACUAAGACAACAUAUCUUUGUUGCCUUAGCAAAAUAAUGGUGCUACGACAGCGUAAGCGCGAAACGGAACGUUCGUCGUUGGCAAUCACCAUGCGGACGAAUCCGCGCACAUACGGGCAUAGAGCGGCGACUUGAAAUAGCGCACGUUACGACGCAUUAGGCAACAGAGGAAGCGCUAUGUCCGCCACGGUCGUCGUUGCGACGAAGAAAUUGGUAGAAGACCUUCGCCAGUCGGCGCAAGUCGAACGGGUGCCCAUCUCGCAGUCGGCGAAGGAUCUGAUGCAGUACAGCAUUUCGAAAGCCGAAGAGGAUCCCCUUCUACCGACGUAUCGGGGCGCCACCGACCAUCCACUGAAGCAGAGAGGGUCGCGCGGAUGGUGUAGUGCGCUUUGAGGCGGACGACGGAGAGUGAGCAAGAGAACGAAUGUGAACACGACUGGUCAUUAAUGCGUCCGUUUUACUUGCACCCUGAUGUGCUUCCGUAUCAAUUGACGUCUGUCUACUGGACUAUUCAGAUGUGAAACGUCUGACCUGUAGCGCGCGUUAUUGUAGUUAUUUUUUGCACUGGUAGACACUGUUCAGUAGUGAAAAAUUAAAUAUUGUUAUUGACGACCGGCAAAUGGGGA